AGGGUUUGAUUAUGGCUCAGGAUGAACGCUGGCGGCGUGCCUAACACAUGCAAGUCGAGCGAUUCUCUUCGGAGAAGAGCGGCGGACGGGUGAGUAACGCGUGGGUAACCUGCCCUGUACACACGGAUAACAUACCGAAAGGUAUGCUAAUACGGGAUAACAUAAGAAAUUCGCAUGUUUUUCUUAUCAAAGCUCCGGCGGUACAGGAUGGACCCGCGUCUGAUUAGCUAGUUGGUGAGGUAAUGGCUCACCAAGGCGACGAUCAGUAGCCGACCUGAGAGGGUGAUCGGCCACAUUGGAACUGAGACACGGUCCAA
rnacentral:rRNA from 1 species